AUGCAGCAUUCUUCACAUCUUUAGAGCUAUGGCAUAACGAUAUGGCAAAAUGAUUCUUCUCUUUAAUGAUUCAACAUUAUCAAUGUCUGUGUAUUCAUCAUCUCUUUCUCUUUGGUAAUAUUUAGGAACACUAUCUACAGAAUCCUCCAACUGUCUUUCUGGUAGAACUCUGUCAGUCCAAUGCUGUCUGCGGAAAUACACAGAGAAGUUGAUUCAGUGUUUAAUGGUGUACAUCUCUGACAAUGCUGAUAAUCAGGCAUUUCCAGGAUGGUGACGUAAAGGAACUGGAACAGCACACACACCGAGGAUUAUCACGAAGGUGGCUUCAUGGAUGAUCCUUUAAAGUCUGGAACUUUCUUUUGGUCAAAUUGUCACUUUUUUCAGAACUAUUUAAGUUGCUGUUUCCAGAGUAGUAUAGAGACAGAGCGACACGCGUCAUAAUCUGAAAACCAUACCCACCGAGGGGGAAAACAAUCCAACAGUCUCCAUUGACUUUGUAUUGCGUGAGGCUACCUCCUUGU